GCCCUCUUAUUUAAAUGUCAGCACUGUCUCUGACAGCACAAAUUUAGUCUUCAAUAAGGUUAUUUGAACAGCUGUGUGUUCUAUGUAUUAGGCAUUUUACUGUACAGUAGUUACUAUAGCAACAAGAAAAUAAGAAGACAGACAAAGUGCUAUGAUCCAAGCAGCAGAAAAUGACAAGCUCUCUAAAAGCAGCACUAGGAGGGGGUGAUGUUGGGCGUCUACCAGACACCUCAGAGACAUCUCGGAUGCUGCAAAAAUAGGCAAGAUACUUGAUAUUCUCCCAGCUAACCACUGCAGAGAUGGUCAUUUUUUAAAGAACUGUUGUGCAAGCCUGCCACUGUCUAAAAAACACAAGGCUGAGGGGGCAGUAAAGCACUGCUUUCAGCCUGAGAGAAGGUGUGAUGAUGCCUUAUUAUUCUACAACACAUCUCCCCGCUUCAUAUCUCUCCAUUUUUGCUUUGUUUGCUCUGUUGCUUGGGAAGUACAGCGAGGGCACUCAAUUGAUACGGUCCAAGAAAGCCAAGCUUCCUGUGGGGAAACACGAGGAUCAUUUCCCUUUAUACAGCCAUUGAUAUUACACUCCUCACACCACUUGACCCAUGACUCCUUCCUGUUCUCUACAAUCCUCUAAAUCUAUUCUUCAUCUUCUCACUCUUGUUUUAACAAUUAAGUGCUCUUAGAAGUCUCCGUUUUUCCAUUAAUUCAUGAAUCUACAGGGAAGGGAAUGUGUGUGAGAGAGAAAGAGAGAGAGAGAGAGUGUUAAACUACUAGAGAGAGAGAGAAAAAGAACAACGUGAUGGAGAAAAAAAAAACAUGGUUGCAAAAGGAAGUGGCAGCUAUUUUGAAGCUAUAUCUAAACAAACUCUCAAAAUGUCUGUGAAAGAUUUUAUUCAGCCAGCAGAAGUCAAAAGAAAUUAAUUUCCACAGCUCACACUGGCUUGUUUGAUAUGAGGUGCAUGCUCUAUUUAAACAAUUCACACCCUUAAAAUCAUCCUGGAUGUUUCCCUCCUGGAAGUGUGAAUUUGGCCAAUAUAAAAAAGUGAUGAUGGCGCAAAACAUCACUAAACCACUGUGCUCAGAAAUACAUGCUUUAUCACCACAGUAAAAACCUGGUAAAUUCCCCCAUUGCAAAAAGACGGUUGCUUACAAGUGUCUAAGAUUAAAUAUCAUCAUGAAACAGCUAAACGCAACCAUAUUGUGAUUAAUACAACAUGUGAAUAAUCCCGCCCACUCUAAAGCAGUACUAAGCUGCAGUGGAAACACAAACGAGCUGAGUCGAGCCAUAACGUACCAUUCUGAGCUGUACCAAGCCGAGUCAUACCACACAGUGGAA
rnacentral:lncRNA from 1 species